rnacentral:rRNA from 1 species
UACGUAGGUGGCAAGCGUUGUCCGGAUUUACUGGGCGUAAAGAGCGCGCAGGCGGUUGAUUAAGUCGAAUGUGAAAGCCCCCGGCUCAACUGGGGAGGGUCAUUCGAUACUGAUCGACUUGAAGGCAGGAGAGAGAAGUGGAAUUCCCGGUGUAGUGGUGAAAUGCGCAGAUAUUGGGAAGAACACCAGUGGCGAAGGCGGUUCUCUGGGACGGUACUGACGCUGAGACGCGAAAGCGUGGGGAGCGAACAGG